rnacentral:rRNA from 1 species
UACGGAGGGUGCAAGCGUUAUCCGGAUUCACUGGGUUUAAAGGGUGCGUAGGCGGGCAGGUAAGUCAGUGGUGAAAUCUCCGAGCUUAACUCGGAAACUGCCGUUGAUACUAUUUGUCUUGAAUAUUGUGGAGGUAAGCGGAAUAUGUCAUGUAGCGGUGAAAUGCUUAGAUAUGACAUAGAACACCAAUUGCGAAGGCAGCUUACUACACAAUGAUUGACGCUGAGGCACGAAAGCGUGGGGAUCAAACAGG